rnacentral:rRNA from 1 species
UACGUAGGCGGAAAUCUAAGUCAGUGGUGAAAUCCCGCAGCUCAACUGUGGAACUGUCAUUGAUACUGGUUUUCUUGAAUAUAGUUGAGGUAGGCGGAAUGUGUAAUGUAGCGGUGAAAUGCUUAGAUAUUACACAGAACACCGAUUGCGAAGGCAGCUUACUAAACUAUGAUUGACGCUGAGGCACGAAAGCGUGGGGAGCGAACAGGAUUAGAUACCCUGGUAGUCC